AUGGCAUUGUUGGUUCAUAAAUGAUUGCAGUAAAGCAAAUAAUUAUUUUACAUUUCACUUCGAUGCAUGUUUGAAAUCAAAAGAUUUUAUCUUACAUUUAUCCCGGAUUUAUGUAACUGUGGAGUCCCUGUAAAGGUGUUACUAGAAUAGAAAAUGUUUGUGCAGUUGUUCAUUCAAUAUUGUCUGUAAAAGGUCUGUCUGCUAUUCUAAUGUUUGAACCUUUUUUUAAAUAAAUUAUUGACUGUGAAAACGACUCAAAAUAUAAAUUUUCUGCAAACAGACGUGGCCACCAAGAAAGAAUAGUCAAGAUAUCCUAAACAAUUCUAAACCUUUAUUUUCUAACAAGAGUGAAAAGAAACAAAAUUCAACAUUGAAAUGAGAAGUUUAUACACAAACUCACGACAACUGUGUGUCUGCAAUAUCAAUAACAAUAAUAAUAAUAAUAAUAACAAUAUUAUCCUUUCAACCCAGAAAACUGAAAAAAUGUGAUAAAGUGAGAUACAGUGAAGAGUUACUUAUGUUUAUACAGAAAGAGAGAAAGAGGGGAGAGGAGUUAUGAGAAGGGGAAAAAUCUUACCAAAGGGACUAAAAGGAGAGAGAGGACUGAAGGUAGAAAACAAAGCAACACAUGGAGAGAGAAGAGGAACAGAUAAGGAUCUUGGGAAAGUAGCACCAAAAACAUGAAUGCCUGUUUUUUUACACUUCCCAAAACACUAUGGUCUUCAUAAGUCCCCAUAAAUAGCCUCUUGGAACACAAUAGUCAAUAUAUAUAUACACACCAUAUAUAUAUAUUGAUAUUAUAAAAGUUUAACCGUGGUGUGUUCACCUAUUGCCUGUCAUCACUUACUGCCAACCGGGCACUGGAGCUUCACGCCUGUCCCCAAACACAAAUAACAACCAAAGUCCAUCCGAGUUUCUGCGGACAGUUCCUGGGGAAAAACGCGUGGUUGUGCCUUGAGACUAGCAUUCGACUAAAACACCUCUGGAACAACACAGCAUACCGACAGACCUCAGAGCGACAACUUAAGACCGAGACGCUGCCCACCCAAUACAACGACGCCUUCAUUGGACGAGACGGGGCGGGGG
ensembl:lncRNA